CUUGGUCAUUUAGAGGAGUAAAGUCGUAACAAGGUUUCCGUAGGUGAACCUGCGGAAGGAUCAUUAUCGAAAUUAUUGGUGAGGGUUGUAGCUGGCCUUUCGAGGCAUGUGCACGCUCGAGCCCUUAAUCCACUUUACACCUGUGCACUUAAUGUAGGUCGCCCUUAAAAAAGGUGACCUAUGUCUUAUCAUCAACCCAUCGUAUGUCUCAUAGAAUGUAAUCGAUAUCCUCGCCCUAAAAAAGCGUUGAUAAACUUAUACAACUUUCAACAACGGAUCUCUUGGCUCUCGCAUCGAUGAAGAACGCAGCGAAAUGCGAUAAGUAAUGUGAAUUGCAGAUUUUCAGUGAAUCAUCGAAUCUUUGAACGCACCUUGCGCUCCUUGGUAUUCCGAGGAGCAUGCCUGUUUGAGUGUCAUUAAAUUCUCAACUCCAAGGGUUUCACGACCUUUCGGAGAUUGGACUUGGAGGUGCUGGCCGCAUAUUGGUCGGCUCCUCUCAAAUGCAUCAGCGGAAUCUAACGUUUCGGACGUCAGUGUGAUAAUCACGUUGCGCUGUCAACCGAUCCUGAAAGGCCCGCUCAUAAUGGUCUUCGGACAACUUCAUAUCAAAUUUGACCUCAAAUCACGUAGGACUACCCGCUGAACUUAAGCAUAUCAAUAAGCGGAGGA
rnacentral:rRNA from 1 species